rnacentral:lncRNA from 1 species
ACGGGUUUGAGAAGCAGUUGUUUAUUUCUGUUGGUCGGACCUCAAGACAGUAUUUGUAAGACAACCUGGAAAUAAAGAUGUUUUGGACUCAGGAGCAACAAAAGUUAGGUUUGUGUGUUACAGGGUGACUGCAGGACAUUGGGACGUGUUUCCACAAGAUCCCUGCCAGGCUGGCAUUCGGUACCAGCACCAUCUCAAAACGUGCCUCAUACGCGGCUCAGAAUGACGACCUCCCCAGCCGAAGCGAGUCACUUAAUCAAAGAGAGAAGCUGGAAAACAACUGCAUCUGGGGGAAAGCUCUGGCAACUGCCAACGGAAGAGGCUCAUCAGAGCGUGAGCGGUGAUCGUGACACAGGUGACGAGAACCCCCCCGUCAGGCCUCCCAGGACGGCUGUGCCAUCACCACACGGAAGCACCUUCUCGGACCAUCUCCUCCAACCUCCACCACCCCACACAGAAGGGACGAGCAGGUCUCCACGACAGCUGGGGCACUGGGGGAGCAGGUGAGAGGCUCCCACAGCAGUUCAGGAAAUACAGGAAAAGGCCCCGCAUGGUUAACCCAGACUCAGCAAGAAUCUGAACAGGAAGUG